rnacentral:rRNA from 1 species
AUUGAACGCUGGCGGCAGGCCUAACACAUGCAAGUCGAGCGGAGCGGCGGACGGGCGAGUAAUGCCUAGGAAUCUGCCUGGUAGUGGGGGAUAACGUCCGGAAACGGGCGCUAAUACCGCAUACUAUCAGAUGAGCCUAGGUGGGAUUAGCUAGUGGGUGGGGUAAAGGCCUACCAAGGCGACGAUCCGUAACUGGUCUGAGAGGAUGAUCAGUCACACUGGAACGGAGACACGGUCCAGACUCCUACGGGAGGCAGCAGUGGGGAAUAUUGGAAAAUGGGCGAAAGCCUGAUCCAGCCAUGCCGGUGGUGGGAAGAAGGUUUUCGGAUUGUAAAGUACUUUAAGUUGGGAGGCGUUACCAACAGAGUAAGCACCGGCUAACUUCGUGCCAGCAGCCGCGGUAAUUC